rnacentral:rRNA from 1 species
AAGAGCGUAUGGUGGAUGCCUUGGCACUAAGAGCCGAUGAAAGACGUGAUAAGCUGCGAAAAGCUUCGGGGAGGAGCAAAUAUCCUGAGAUCCGGAGAUAUCUGAAUGGGGAAACCUACUUGAGAAGACCUCAAGUAUCCACAGCCCAAUCCAUAAGCUGUGGAAGGGAACCCGGUGAACUGAAACAUCUAAGUAGCCGGAGGAAGAGAAAACAACAUGUGAUUCCGUAAGUAGCGGCGAGCGAACGCGGAAGAGCCCAAACCGGAGUGCGUGCACUCCGGGGUUCGGACUGCAGGAUUGACGAGUGAGCCUAGUAGAAUGGUUUUGGGAAAGCCAGCCAGAGAGGGUGAAAGCCCCGUACACGAAAGGCAAGCGAGCAUGGCAGGAUCCAGAGUACCACGAGACACGUGAAACCUUGUGGGAAUGAGCGGGGACCACCCCGUAAGGCUAAAUACUCCUUAGUGACCGAUAGCGCAUAGUACUGUGAAGGAAAGGUGAAAAGGACCCCGGGAGGGGAGUGAAAGAGAACCUGAAACCAUAUGUUUACAAGCUGUGGAAGAGCUUUACAUGCUCAACCGCGUACUUUUUGUAGAACGGUCCGGCGAGUUGCGCUGGCUGGCGAGGUUAAGGACUGAAGGUCCGGAGCCGAAGGGAAACCAAGUCUGAAUAGGGCGAAUAUAGUCAGUCGGAGCAGACCCGAAACCGGGUGAUCUACCCAUGUCCAGGUUGAAGUUGCCGUAAAAGGCAAUGGAGGACCGAACGCACAUCCGUUGAAAAGGGUGGCGAUGAGGUGUGGGUAGGGGAGAAAUUCCAAUCGAACCCGGAGAUAGCUGGUUCUCCUCGAAAUAGCUUUAGGGCUAGCCUCAUGCAAGUCUUACGGAGGUAGAGCACUGAAUUCCUAAGGGGGCGUCAAAGCUUACCAAGGGAUAUCAAACUCCGAAUGCCGUGUAGAUGGUGCAUGGGAGUCAGACUAUCCGAGAUAAGUUGGGUAGUCAAAAGGGAAAGAGCCCAGACCUACAGCUAAGGUCCCAAAAUGUGUGUUAAGUGGAAAAGGAUGUGGGAUUUCGAAGACAACCAGGAUGUUGGCUCAGAAGCAGCCAUCCAUUCAAAGAGUGCGUAAUAGCUCACUGGUCGAGAGGUCCUGCGCCGAAAAUGUCCGGGGCUGAAACACACUACCGAAGCCGUGGAAUCAUCGCAAGAUGAUUGGUAGAGGAGCAUUCUUAAAGAGAAGAAGCUGUACCGGAAGGAGCAGUGGAUUUUUAAGAAGAGAGAAUGCCGGAAUGAGUAGCGAGAGGAAGGUGAGAAUCCUUCCGGCCGAAUAUCCAAGGUUUCCAGAGUAAAGCUGAUCUGCUCUGGGUAAGUCGGGGCCUAAGGCGAGGUCGAAAGACGUAGUCGAUGGAUAACAGGUUGAAAUUCCUGUACUAUGAUAUGACAGAACUGUGGGGACACGUGUGGAAAGCGGAAGCCGGGAAUGGAAAGACCGGUGCAAGCAAGGUAGGAGACUGGUUGGCAAAUCCGCCAGUCAAUCUGAAGAUGUGAUGCGUACUGAAAUAUAAGUAAGGAAGUCCGUGAGCCAUGCGUCAAGAAAAGCCGCUAUUGUUCAUAUCGUACCCGUACCGUAAACCGACACAGGUGGAUGAGGAGAGAAUCCUAAGGCCGACGGAAGAAGCAUUGUUAAGGAACUCGGCAAAAUGACCCCGUAACUUCGGGAGAAGGGGUGCCCACUGAAUGGUGGGCCGCAGAGAAUAGGCUCAAGCAACUGUUUAGCAAAAACACAGGUCUAUGCGAAACCGAAAGGUGAGGUAUAUGGGCUGACGCCUGCCCGGUGCUGGAAGGUUAAGGGGAGAGGUUAGCGCAAGCGAAGCUUUGAACUUAAGCCCCAGUAAACGGCGGCCGUAACUAUAACGGUCCUAAGGUAGCGAAAUUCCUUGUCGGGUAAGUUCCGACCCGCACGAAAGGCGUAAUGAUUUGAGCGCUGUCUCGACAAUGCAUCCGGUGAAAUUGAAGUACCAGUGAAGAUGCUGGUUACC